rnacentral:rRNA from 1 species
AAUCCAUAGGUUAAUGAGGCGAACCGGGGGAACUGAAACAUCUAAGUACCCCGAGGAAAAGAAAUCAACCGAGAUUCCCCCAGUAGCGGCGAGCGAACGGGGAGGAGCCCAGAGCCUGAAUCAGCAUGUGUGUUAGUGGAAGCGUCUGGAAAGGCGCGCGAUACAGGGUGACAGCCCCGUACACAAAAGCGCAUGUGCUGUGAGCUCGAUGAGUAGGGCGGGACACGUGGUAUCCUGUCUGAAUAUGGGGGGACCAUCCUCCAAGGCUAAAUACUCCUGACUGACCGAUAGUGAACCAGUACCGUGAGGGAAAGGCGAAAAGAACCCCGGCGAGGGGAGUGAAAAAGAACCUGAAACCGUGUACGUACAAGCAGUGGGAGCCCCACCACCAAAGCAUUUGCUGUACCGCGUUGACGGAGCGAAGCGACGUCAAACCGAUAAAACAGCAGUGUAAAGUGAGCCGCAGGGCGCUUUGCGCGACAGCGCAAAGGCAGG